UUUCACUGUUUUUUCAGCUGGGAAGGUGAAGGACAGAGGGGUAUUAAAGCACAAGACAGCUGGGGUAGGAAGAGGGGUGUAGAGCCUGCAGAAGACUGGCUUUGAGUGUACUCAAACCUCUGAAGGCUUCACACACACCAUGAAGUGCAUGUAAAAGACCUAAAGGAUUUCUGGUAACCUCAAACAAGAUUUGCUGCUAUUGUGAAUGAGAAAAAGGGCAGGAGACCCAGGAAGUUAGUGUCAGAGAGCCAGUCAUGGAGCCAAAGCAAAGGAAGAGGCACAAAACCCCGUAAAACAGAACACGACUAGACAACAGCAACUCCAACUCAUCUUAGAUGUCCACAGGAUGCUUCCCAGUAGUUUAAUGCUUAGGAUGACCGAGGCUGAAAUUCACUGGGCUCUUAGACCUGGUGUAAGGUGGCAUUGAAAGAAACUGGGUUUUUGUUUGUUGGCAGGUGCAGUUUCCUUUCUCAUGAGAAACCAGCAAGAAUGGAAAAGUGGGAACAGAAAAGGGAUAGCUGGAAAACGUGAAAGGUACUUUGUUCAAAAUCAAUAUCUAAUUUUGACCAACUUGGGAAUGAGAAAAUUGCUUCUCGUACACUUUUAUCACCCAAUAAAAACAGAGCAUAAGGGCUUGACA